rnacentral:sRNA from 1 species
UAUUUUGAAAAUGUGUUAUGGCAAAUGU